GAUAGAUAGAUAGAUAGAUAGAUAGAUAGAUAGAUAGAUUUUUGUAGUUUAAAACCAACAUAGUAACACUAACAUUAUUGCUUUUUCUCUACUGAAGCAUGGCAGUCAGAGAAUUCUUAUGUCUGGAUGAUCCACCAACUGCUUUAGAUGCUCUUAGAGAAAGACAGGCCUUCUGUGAGACACUGGAAGGGACAGACCGCUGCCUUCAGAAGGAUUUCAUGGUUGACGAGAGAGAGAGAAAUGAGUCCAUGAGAAACGUCCUUCUGCACAAAGAGCUCCAAAUUAGCCAUUCUGAGAGAACAAAGAAGGGCCACGGAGCGUGCUGGUGUGGAUCAGCGACUGACAGCCCAGAAAAACACCGUUGCGGAGGACCAUUCCAAGAAAUUCAUCAAAUGAAGUAAGAAAGGGGAAAAGACCCUUUCCUAAAACGGAGAAGAGAAAAAAAGCUGUUUUUCUUGGAUUAAAGUCGAUCUGCGCCAGCAAAUCAUUUGUAGCACAAACAUUUUUAAUGGCUCAACCAAGAGAUGUGGUUUAAAAGGUUUAAUGAGGUGCGAGUGUAUUUGUGAUCCUGUCAGUUUUGUUUUAUAGAGAUUUUAUAGAACAUCUGUGUCAGAUUCGCACUAUAGGAGCCAAACACAUAACGUCAACUCUGUAAACUUUUGUUUAGAUUUUUUCCUUUAAGUAUUUAACUUGACUUCUGUUUUGGAUUACUCUCAUUUUAAACAUUUGGAUGUUGACUUUGUAAGUCAAUAAAAUGUUUACAUAUAACUAACCUCCUUUUUUUGGAUUGUAGUCAAUGUAGCAGAGAUUUUAAAAUCCUAGUAAUGAUAAUUCGAUCAAUUCACCCAGUUCUACUGCACUGUAAAGAAAUUCUCGCUGUCUUAAUUUUUUUUUGUUGAAUCAAAUUAACUUUUUUAGUCAUCUUACAUCUAGUCAAACUAAUCAAAAAUAUUGUAAAGGGCACCUAUGAUGAAAAUCUUCUUUUUAAAGCUGUUUGGAUAGAACUGUGUGUA